CUAGCCCUUUUCCUUCUUUCC
rnacentral:siRNA from 1 species